AUCUUUGCGCAGCGGAAGUAUCGUAGCCUAUGAGGUCUAACUGAGGCGCGAUUAUUGCUAGUUGAAAACUUUAUCCAAUACCCC
rnacentral:snRNA from 10 species